AUUGGCUGAGGCGCAGCGCGCGGGAGCGGCGGUUAGCAGCCGGCUCGGGCCGCCCGGCUGUCCCGUCAGACGGCGCCGCUCCCUCAGCCCGGCCCCGCCGCUGCAGCCGCUGUUCGCCAGAGCUGUCCGGGCAGCACCGAGACGGAGGCGCGGCACAACGAAAGCGGUGCUGAGGACAGCGGCGCCGGAGGUGUGCGGGAGAACGGCUCCGGGCCGGGGCCGGGGCCGGGGCCGGGGCGAGGAACCGUAUGAGGCCCGAACCGCCAGGCCCCGCCCCGCCCUCCCCUCCCCUCCGCCGUGGGAUGCGGGGAUUUAGGACGGCUGAAGGACUCGGGGCCCCCACCGCCGCAGUGCUGCUGCCCGCAUCCGGGCCGGGCCCCCCCGAGCCUCCAGCGCUGCUCCCGGUGCCCCCCGGAGCUGAGGCACAGGUAUUGUUUAACAAGUGCCUUUGGAGAAGUUUUCAGUAUCCAGUCUCCUGAUCAGGAAGAAAGAAGAAAGUUUUUGGAGGACUUAAUCAUGAGUGGAGCUGCUGCUGAAGCUCCACUUCAAACAAGCAAGCUGGUGAGGACGUUGUGCAUCUCAGCCUUUCCUCACUGCAAGGCUGGGCAGACACGGGCAGCACUGCCUGCAGCAGCACCAGCUGAGCUCUGUGUGCCAGAGGAAGGAAUGCGGCGUCUGGAGGAGCAGGAGGAGGAGACCCUGCGUGACUCUGCGGGGCCGUUCCUCACAGCCUGCCACUGACAGACGUAGUGGGGCACUGCAGAGCCCGUUGGUGCGGAGGAGGUUUGUUCUGGAGGUCCUGAUGACGGCACAGGCAUGAAGCAGCCCAGAGCUCGUCGGUGUGGAGAGACUGCGUAUUGUGUUGUGAAGGGAGAGACGGAGGAGGGGUUUGAACAGCAUUGCGCAGGAAUGAAAGAAGCUGGUAAGAGAAGAGGCUGCGGCACUUCAAAGUGUGCUAUGGACGGGCAGCACGUUGACAACCCAAGGGUGGCACCAGGAGAUGCAGCGCAGCCCUCUCCAGCAGCAGGGUGCAUUUAUUCGUCUUGCUAAUUCUUGAAGUAGAAGGCAGGAGACGGGCAGCGGUACUACAGCUCGUCUGCGACUUUGAAGCUAAGUUGGGAAGUGGAAGAUGUGGAUGUGAAAGAAGAACUCAGUUACUGGGACGCUCCCUUCUCUUCCCCUAGCUGUCCCCUUGCCUCAGCCCGGGUUCCCCUUGCAUUCCUGUAGGUUUCCCUUCCAUCCCCCUGGCUGCCCUGUGCUUUCCCCAAGGUUGCCCUUUCCUUUCCCAUGACAGCCCACCCAUAAUUCCCUCAGCGCCCCAAUAGCCCCCUCAAUAUUUCCCAUUCAAGAACCUGUAGCUACCCCACGACCCCCACAGAGCCCCAUAGGCCCUCGAGGACCUCUUCAGGCCUGGUACACCUUCCCCAUAGCUGGCCCAAAACCUCACAGAAACACAUAGUCUGUUACAGUACCCCAUUUUCCUGCUGGGCUCCCACUGAACCCCCAUGUUUCCUCCCUAAGACCUGCCUUACCACAUCCAGGACCCCCCUGAGAUCUUCCAGACCCUACAGUUCCUUAGAGGACCCCGUCACUAUUCCAGGACCCCCAUAGCUGACCCUCCUCAACCCCAUUUCCCUCCAGAUCCCAUAUCACCACACAGUGCUGGGGCAGGAUCGGCUGCUGCAGGAAAGGAAUGCGGAGCAGGGGGAGGUGUAGGGCACAGAUGUUGGUGAAAGAGACGUGGGGGGUACUGGGAAGAUGGAUACACGGUAACGUGGGAGUAUUUGGGGAUAUGGGCCAAUAUGGGCCUGCAGGAGGAGAAUGCUGUGCAGAAGAAGGCAAUGUGUGAGGUGCUCCAACACCGCCCCGCCCCCCCCCUUUUUACCCGUAACUUCUCCCCACAUCCCCCCGUC